GCGGUCCAAAUUCCUUUCUGGGGAGGUGCAUCCUGCUUCCCUGCUGGCACAUGUCUGGCUGCUGUGAAAUGGAUCUUAGAUCAUUAUCCUGGGAUUGCCCCGAGUGUAUCAUCAGAUGAGCAGGUUACUGGAAGACUUCAGCCUGAAAGGGUGUGAAGCUGAGUUUCUAGAGCCUUUGUCUCCAUGAGAAAGAGCCUGAGAAUAAAUUUAUCGUAAAGGAAAUGGAGCCUGACAAUAUCAUUGGAGCACCUGGAUCCAGCCAAGCCUGAAGCCACUAUGUGUUUUUAUCAGAUGUUCAUUAUGACUAUUUUUAUACUUCAUACCUGAAGGAUAUUUCACUUGUUUUGAGGCUUCUGCUGAUACCAACGAUGGGACAGUGAACAUCCUGGGCUGAAGGUAUGUACGUUUUAAAUUUGAGUAACUACUGUUAAA